rnacentral:rRNA from 1 species
AUUGAACGCUGGCGGCAGGCUUAACACAUGCAAGUCGAGCGGAGCGAGGGUGCUUGCACCUUAGCUUAGCGGCGGACGGGUGAGUAAUGCUUAGGAAUCUGCCUAUUAGUGGGGGACAACAUUCCGAAAGGGAUGCUAAUACCGCAUACGCCCUACGGGGGAAAGCAGGGGAUCUUCGGACCUUGCGCUAAUAGAUGAGCCUAAGUCGGAUUAGCCAGUUGGUGGGGUAAAGGCCUACCAAGGCGACGAUCUGUAGCGGGUCUGAGAGGAUGAUCCGCCACACUGGGACUGAGACACGGCCCAGACUCCUACGGGAGGCAGCAGUGGGGAAUAUUGGACAAUGGGGGGAACCCUGAUCCAGCCAUGCCGCGUGUGUGAAGAAGGCCUUUUGGUUGUAAAGCACUUUAAGCGAGGAGGAGGCGCUCUAGGAUAAUACCCUAGAUGCGUGGACGUACUCGCAGAUAGCCCC